rnacentral:rRNA from 1 species
UAGAGUUUGAUCCUGGCUCAGGAUUAACGCUGGCGGCGUGCAUNACACAUGCNAGUCGAACGAUGAAACUNANACGAUUCUUCGGAUGAAUCUNAGCGGAUUAGUGGCGAACGGGUGAGUAACGCGUGAGUAACCUGCCUUACNCAAGGGGAUAGCCUCUGGAAACGGAGAAUAAUACCCUAUAACACCNUANGAGGACAUCCNGUUNUGGUCNAAGUGUUAGCGGUGUAAGAUGGACUUGCGUCUGAUUAGCUAGUUGGUGAGAUAAAAGCUCACCAAGGCAACGAUNAGUAGCCGGCUUGAGANAGUGUACGGCCACNUUGGGACUGAGACACNGCCCAGACUCCUACUGGNCGCAGC